GGGGGCGUAGCUCGAUCGGUAGAGCGACGGCCCGUCCAUCCGUCGGUUGUGGGUUCGAGUCCCACCGCCUUGCCA
rnacentral:tRNA from 1 species